GCCCGGAUGGUGAAAUUGGUAGACACGCUAGGUUCAGGGUCUAGUGAGAGCAAUCUCAUGGGAGUUCGAGUCUCCCUCCGGGCACCA
rnacentral:tRNA from 1 species